rnacentral:rRNA from 1 species
AUGUCGUUUGUGCAUAAGAGUGUGAUUCUUACCAAGAAAAAUUUGGCAAAGCGCAGGUGGAAAGGUAGUAAACGUUGUUGUUUCUUUGACCAUGAGGAAACAAUUCGACACUUAUUCCUUAAUUCCCAACUUGCCAAGCUCAUGCGGCCAACAAUACACGAGUCCUUUAACAUACCUCCACCUAAUAGUAUAUCAAAUUUAUUUGGUAAUUGGUUAGGAAGGGUGGAGUGCAUUACUUUGGGCUAUUUAGAACUGUCUGAACGAUUGUGUAUUUAA